ensembl:lncRNA
AGGCCUUCCAGAUGUAUAGAAAGGCAGAGUAUUUCUUUAGUUACAUUUUUUUCAUUACCUUCACUAUGCCAAAUACAAGAAAGCAAGAUAUACUAUAUUAAAGAUUAGCUGGGCUAGAUUGAACUGUGUAUUUCCGUUUCAAUAUGGAGGCAUGGCUUGUCUGAUUUAAUUCAGCAAUAUGAUCUUCUAGAGGUGCAGGUUGCCUCUGCAGUUCUACCAAUAUGAAAUCUGGAGUCUGUUUCUUCAGCAACACAGCAUGCUGUUUUUGCCACAGACAUACCAUAUCAUGAUUCUGUGAUGCUACCUGCAGAGUUCUAAUGCUAAUAAGGAGGUCAGCAGCUCCUGAAGAUUAUCUGCCGGAAGGACGUGUUUUAAAAAUGAAACAUGUUCUUUCUUGUUGCAAAGCAUUCCUGCCAGCAGAAGUCUCACCAGCUGUCACGCACAAAGUCUUCUACUCCCAUCAAUUUUGCCAAUAUUGGAUAAAAGGUCUAGACUCUGAGAAGGAGGGGCUACCUCAAGAGAGAGGUCUUCUUUGGAGCAGAGAACAAACUGCGAAGGCUGGAAGAAGCUAGUUCACAACUAUGAGUAACUGCUUUGACUACAUAGAAGAAAAGAACCGUAACUAAAUCCUUUUCCUAGCACUGAAUCCUCUUUUUCUGAAACAUCGAUGUGUGUAGCCAAAAUAUAUAUUUUGAUACUGCUUUCAAACCUCAGGAGGAGUAAAGCAAUUUCAGAAGGCACAAAGAGAACAUGAUCCAGUUCAAAGAGGCAUAUACAAGAAGAGGUGAGAAGCAGAAAUUACUCUUUGUCAGUAUCAGCUUCAUCCUAACUUUUUGUGGCUCCAACUGAUGCAUAAUCAACCUAAGGAAAGUCACAAGCAACCAAAUAGCCCAGGCCUCACUCUGUGCAUACAAUUACCAUCCCAUCAAUUGAAACCUUUUCUGGGUGGAGUAGUCACCCUUCCAAAGAAAGAAGCUUUGUUGCAGAUUCAUGUGAAGUUUUCUUUCAAUAUUUUUUAGCUGCUUUCCAAAACUGAUACAGCUCUUUCCUUCUCUGACCACCAGAAAGACCAAAAAUACCUUUGGCCAAUUCUGUAUUUCGUUAGAUGAGACAGACAGACAAGCAGAUGCCUGGCAAAUUUAAGCUGCUACAUUCCUUUACUGUCCUGUGGUGGCAAUGAACAGGGAAUACUAUUAAAUUUACUCCCUGAUCUGCCUUCUUGUGUCACACCACCUCUUUAAGG